UUGCUAACGCGUGAAGGCGAGCACUCUAGACGAACUGCCGUUGACAAAACGGAGGAAGGUGGGGAGUGACGUCAAAUCAUCAUGCCCCUUAUGUUCUGGGCUACACACGUGCUACAAUGGCCGGUACAGACGGACGCAAAGCCGCGAGGUGGAGCAAAUCCUAAAAAGCCGGUCUCAGUUCGGAUUGCAGGCUGCAAUUCGCCUGCAUGAAGUCGGAAUCGCUAGUAAUCGCAGGUCAGCAUACUGCGGUGAAUACGUUCCCGGGCCUU
rnacentral:rRNA from 1 species